GCCGGUGUGGCGGAAUUGGCAGACGCGCACGACUCAAAAUUGUGUUCCUUCUGGAGUGUCGGUUCGGCCCCGACCACCGGUA
rnacentral:tRNA from 1 species